rnacentral:lncRNA from 1 species
UACAUGGAGUCAUGGAAUACGUAAGUUUGAUUUGCGGCAUUUCUGAUUGGACGCCCCGUCCGUAAGUUACUAUGCAGUCUAGAUCCGACGGAUAUUUCCAUGUAUUAUCGAUCUGGCCUAUUUGUCACAGUGGAUUAUGAUUAUGUUCUGUUGAGUCUUCACAUCGGCUUCGACACUCUGAUUUCUACGAAAGGACUCUCUGUACAGUACAGUAUGUACGCAAUACGGGCUUAUCUCGUUAGUAUGUCACACAAGAAUCCAUCGUUCCUACAGCCCCUUUACUUCUCUUUAUUUUCUUUUUUUCUGCGGUCGCAGGCCAACCAAUGUGAGGGCAUCCCGACAACCCGACUCUCCGACCCGCCUGCCCACUCCCUAGCGUCUAUGAUCCAUACACUCUGAACUCUGUCUGUCACUCCUUCCGUCUGCUGCCGUCUGCUCCUAGUAGGUAGGACACCUGUCUGGACGGAAGACGGAUAUAUGUUUUUCGGGUAGUACACGCUCGAGUCAACAUUGUAGCCAGCUAUCCUCGGCAUUUGGUUUACUAUGAGGAAGUUGGAAUAGUUACCAACUUGUCGCUGUCUGUUGACUAAUGGGACUAAGUAGGAGGUAGUGCUUAGUACGGAGUACGUAACGUGAAUGGGCAAGCAUUUUACUAUGUAUCGAAUUGCCGA